rnacentral:rRNA from 1 species
GAUGAACGCUGGCGGCGUGCCUAAUACAUGCAAGUCGAGCGAAGGGCCGAGAACUUUCCUCUCUUGUUUUUAGCGCCGGGCGGUGGGUUAAACUUUGGUAAACUACCCUUUAAGCUUGGAUUAAUUCCGGGAACCUGAACUUAUUCCCGGUUGAUUUUUUGACCCGCUUGUUUCAAAAUUGAAAGACGUUCUUUCUUCCACUAUUAAUUGAUCCGCGCUGCAUUUGCUAGUUGGUAAGGUAACGGCUUACCAAGGCAACGAUGCAUAACCGACCUGAGAGGGUGAUCGGCCACACUGGAACUGAGACACGGUCCAGACUCCUACGGGAGGCAGCAGUAGGGAAUCUUCCGCAAUGGGCGAAAGCCUGACGGAGCAACGCCGCGUGAGUGAUGAAGGUCUUCGGAUCGUAAAACUCUGUUAUUAGGGAAGAACAUAUGUGUAAGUAACUGUGCACAUCUUGACGGUACCUAAUCAGAAAGCCACGGCUAACUACGUG